rnacentral:pre_miRNA from 1 species
GGUGGCUUGCCCGUGUGCCGGGGGCUCUGGCGCCAGUGGCACGUGCGCUGGGAGCGCCCUGAGCCAUGGUGGCUGCA